CAUGAUUCAAACACUUACAUAAGGUUUAUAUCAAAUGACCUAACUUUAUAUGAAUAUAUUUACACCAAGAUUAAAGGCACAUACACAAGUAAGUUAAUGCCAAGCUUAAGCAUCUUUGCAUCAAUCUCAUAUGUAACACAUGUAGUAAAUAUUCAAAACAUAUACAAAACACGCCUAUUACAUGCCAUAUAACCCAAAGAUAAAAAUAUCAAAAACCACCAAAAGAUAUCCGAAUAGUGUGAUUCUUUGAGCUGAUCCGAUCGCCAGAUUCCACAAAACAUAAUCCACAAAGAAAUAGAAAAAAAAAGACUCAAGUAAGCUUUACUAGAGCUUGGUAAGUUCAACAGUUAAAACGAUAAACUUAUUGUAAAAACAUAUUGUCGAAACCAUUUUUUUGAAAACAAAAAAUUUUAGGUUGCCGACUUUAAAAAAUGAAAAUUGGGAGUCGCCACCAAUCAUUUAUUAAGGUGUGAUUGAGUCACCUAAAACGACUUUGGUCUACGAAUUUUAGAAAAACGGGUU
rnacentral:lncRNA from 1 species